AGAGUUUGAUCAUGGCUCAGGACGAACGCUGGCGGCGUGCUUAACACAUGCAAGUCGAGCGGAAAGGCCCUUCGGGGUACUCGAGCGGCGAACGGGUGAGUAACACGUGAGCAACCUGCCCCUAGCUCUGGGAUAGCUCCGGGAAACCGGGAUUAAUACCAGAUACGACCACUUUAGACAUCUUUUGUGGUGGAAAGGAUUCCGGCUGGGGAUGGGCUCGCGGCCUAUCAGCUUGUUGGUGGGGUAACGGCCUACCAAGGCGACGACGGGUAGCCGGCCUGAGAGGGCGACCGGCCACACUGGGACUGAGACACGGCCCAGACUCCUACGGGAGGCAGCAGUGGGGAAUAUUGCGCAAUGGGCGAAAGCCUGACGCAGCGACGCCGCGUGGGGGAUGAAGGCCUUCGGGUUGUAAACCCCUUUCCGCAGGGACGAAGCGAGAGUGACGGUACCUGCAGAAGAAGCGCCGGCUAACUACGUGCCAGCAGCCGCGGUAAUACGUAGGGCGCAAGCGUUGUCCGGAAUUAUUGGGCGUAAAGAGCUCGUAGGCGGUCAGUUGCGUCCGCUGUGAAAACUCGGGGCUUAACCCCGAGCCUGCAGUGGAUACGGGCAGACUAGAGGUAGGUAGGGGAGAAUGGAAUUCCCGGUGUAGCCGUGAAAUGCGCAGAUAUCGGGAGGAACACCGGUGGCGAAGGCGGUUCUCUGGGCCUUACCUGACGCUGAGGAGCGAAAGCGUGGGGAGCGAACAGGAUUAGAUACCCCUGUAGUCC
rnacentral:rRNA from 1 species